GAUGAAGAACGCAGCGAAAUGCGAUAAGUAAUGUGAAUUGCAGAAUUCAGUGAAUCAUCGAAUCUUUGAACGCACAUUGCGCCCCUUGGUAUUCCGAGGGGCAUGCCUGUUCGAGCGUCAUUAUCACCCCUCAAGCUUUGCUUGGUGUUGGGGCCUGCUGUAAUAGGCAGCCCUUAAAAUCAGUGGCGGUGCUUCAAGGCUCUAAGCGUAGUAAUUCUCCUCGCUAUAGUGUCUAGUGGUUGCCAGCCAGAACCCACCAAUUUUCAUGAUUGACCUCGGAUCAGGUAGGGAUACCCGCUGAACUUAAGCAUAUCAAUAAGCGGAGGA
rnacentral:misc_RNA from 1 species